GGGAAUAUGGCUUAGUGGUAGAGUGCUUGCCUAGCAUACAUGAGGGCUUAGGUUCAAUUCCUUAGUCCCA
rnacentral:tRNA from 1 species